rnacentral:lncRNA from 1 species
GGAGAGAAUUUUGAAUUAUGAGUUGAGGGUGUAUUCUUGUUCGAUAUAUUAGAAGGGUUCUGAAUAUAUGAUCAAUGGAGGCUGAAUAUGCUAUAGAUGUGUAGGAUAAAUUCUGGCUCUAAUAUUAGUUGUAGAACUGAAUGUCAUGCUAUGACACGGUACUGCAAAAAUAAUGGCACCAUAGCCCUUGCUAAGGAGCCCAAAGUCUUACAAGAAGUCCAAACAUAUAAAGCAGCAGUGUACGCGACUACCUCAUGUCG